rnacentral:rRNA from 1 species
AGCUUCAAUAGCGUGUAUUAAAGUUGUUGCAGUUACAAAGCUCGUAGUUGGGUUUCUAACUGGGAAUGUGGGCCUGCUCUUACGAGUGUGCUUCAUACAUUUCUGGCCGUCCUUUGGGAGAACCACAGUGGUAUUGCAAUGUUGAUGUGGGGAUCCCAAUCCUUUAUUGUGAAGAAAUUAGAGUGUUCAAAGCAGGCUUACGUCGUUGGAUAUAUUAACAUGGACUAAUAACAUCGGAAUAUGGUACUAUUUUGUUGGUUUGUGCACAAGAGUAAUGUUUAACAGGGACAGUUGGGGGUACUUGUAUUUCAUUGUCAGAGGUGAAAUUCUUUGAUUUUUGGAAGACAAACAACUGCGAAAGCAUUUACCAAAGAUGUUUUCA